rnacentral:tRNA from 1 species
GCAUCCAUGGCUGAGUGGUUAAAGCACCCAACUCAUAAUUGGUUUUUUCGCGGGUUCGAGUCCUGCUGGAUGCAC